AUAAAAAAUGUCAUGAAAAAAGGGCGACCGGAUAUAAAUUCAACUCGAGCAAGACCACCCAAAAAUACACUCUUGUUUUUUAUUAUUGUUUGUUUUUGUUUUAAUGUUUGAUUGUUUUUAUUUAUUUUUUUAUUUGAAAGAACAAAUAGAGGAGGAGGAGAAAAAAGAAUACAAGACAUUCAUUUUAAGAACUUCUUUUUUGUUUUUUGGAAAGACGGAAGGACAAGCAAAAUAGAAUAAAGUCAUAGAAGCAUAUCUCGACACGUAUACAUAUUUAUAC
rnacentral:ribozyme from 13 species